CUUAAGCUAUCGAGAUUGAUCAAUCGAUGGAUCUACGUAUAGAUAGAUAGAUAUAUAGAUAGAUAGACAGACAGACAGACAGAUAUGUGAAAAAUAACAAAUUGGAAGGUAGAUACAGCGUACAUGGACAACAUUUUAAUCUGGCUUGUACUUUCAUUUUCAACAUAUGCUUCAAAUGGUUACUCUUUAAUGCUACUUUCGGCAUACAUUCCGGGAGAAAAACAAUUCCCUGAAUUUAGUAUAGUUACAGUUUUGGAUGACAUCAUAGUCGGAUACUACAAUUCAACAGUUUAUAUUCCAAGAGGAAAUACUACAAAUGAAGAUGAUGUUAUUGAAUCAGAAUACAUAAAAGGUCUAAGUGACUAUAUGCAUCACUCCUUUAAAAGGAGAUCAUAUUUAUUAACACAAAACAACAGUUAUGAAGUUUACCAGACGCUGGUUCAAUGUGAGCUGCUGAAUACUCAACCUGGAAAGAUGAUCAUCAAAGAUGCUGCUGGAGGCUUCACAACAGAUGAGCUGACUUACAUUAACAACAACUUUACUUAUUUUGUUCAUACAAGUCAUUCACAGGAGCUGCUCAAACCCCACUUGGAAAAAUUCAAGGACAAUCUCAAGAAGAUUGAUUACCCAACAUGUAUAAGAACUCUCAGAAAUUAU